GAAAACGACCUGGCCUGAAAUAAUUCUCCACAUAUAUUAUUCAUUUCAAAGCAAAUAAUUAAGCUGUGCAAGAUCCAUGGUGUGAUAAUUUCCGUCUGGUAACUGGGACACAAAUAAUGCAGCAGCCUUAUCUCCAAGAAGGCAAAAGUUCCCUUGGUACACAUAGGCAGGUGUUGCUAACCCCAUCACACCCGUAAAUACGACAGAACAGUAGCAAGAGAGGACACAACAUAAAGAGCAGCGACAAGAAGAAAGAAAGGGAGGAGAUGGGUCUGUUGGUCUUCCUCCACAUCUUUCUUCUCUCUGUAAUCGCUACAGCUCCAUGGGCCGAUGCUUGGGGCAAGCAUGGCCAUUUCAUGGUCUGUAAAAUAGCAGAGAAAUAUUUCACGGAGAAAACUGCGAAAGCGGUGUUGGAUCUCCUUCCAAAGUCGGCGGAAGGGGAGCUGGCAUCAGUGUGCUCGUGGGCCGACGAGAUCCGGUUCCAUUAUCGCUGGUCGAGCCCUCUCCAUUACAUUAAUACCCCUAAUUGCACGUACAAGUACUCAAGGGAUUGUUUCAAUGACAGAGGUCAGGAAGGUAUGUGUGUGGUUGGAGCAAUCAACAAUUACACGGAACAGCUGCGAAGUUAUGGGGACUCUUCAGAUAGAUAUAAUCUGACAGAAAGCUUGAUGUUUCUCGCCCAUUUUGUGGGAGAUGUACAUCAACCUCUACACGUAGGAUUGGAGGCUGAUGAAGGUGGGAAUACUAUAAUCGUCCAUUGGUAUAGAAGGAAGACCAACCUUCAUCAUGUAUGGGAUACGGAGAUUAUAGAUACUGCAACGCGUGAUUUUUAUGAUGAUAACAUCAAUUCCAUGAUAGAAUCCAUUCAGAGGAACAUCACGGGAGGAGGCAUUCCCCCAAAAUUUGUUGAGUUGAUGGAAUGGAAUAUGUUACAAAAGGGAAAUGAGAAGAAAUGGAAUGAUGAAAGAAACUAGAACAGAUUAGAAGUCGAGAGAUGCCAGAGGAGGUUUAGGUGGACAGCUUGCUACAGAGUAGAGCAAAAGGAGCUGAUCUGCCAGUAGCAGUGGAUACCCUUUCUAGGAAGCUGGCUCUGAUUCUUGUGAGCGUAUCACUGGAUAAGCAGGCAUUAGGAGAAUACACUGCUGUGGUGUCUCUAUGAUUAAGUUGGACUUGGAGGCUUGAGUUUGAUAAGCAUCUAUUAGUUUUCUCUCCACAGAAUAAGCAUCUAAUGGAUGGUCUGAUGAAAUCGAUCAUUGGGAGAAUUGUCAUAAUAAGUAUAAGACUUGUGCCAAUGAUUAUGCCAUAGAGAGCAAUCACUUAGCCUGUCGUUAUGCAUAUAAGGAUGCCGAACAGGAUUCAACAUUAGCAGAUGAUUAUUUCUUUUCUCGAUUACCAAUUGUGGAGGAGAGGAUUGCCCAAGCUGGUGUCAGAUUAGCUUUGAUACUCAAUCGAAUUUUUGAUGGGAGUGUUGAUGAUAUGAUACAAAGCUCCUAGAAGCCCGAGCUGUUUGAUUGAGCACAUUAGAAACUACAAUUGUCAUAAGUCGCAAUUCUUGUUGAACAAGUAUAAGCUGUCUGCUAUGAUAAAAUGCAAUUCUAAAUUAUUGUAUCUGUGGAUGUAACAUGGAUUUAAAUCUUCUAUCAUAAUAACAGAGUAAUGCAUUUACCUAAUCA